AAGCACGAACAUUCUCCCCUCCUCCACCGCUGCCAAGAACCUCCGCGCCAACCGCCACCAAACCGCCCUCCCUACCCAAGCCAUGGACAUCGGCUCGGUGCCUUCCCCGGCCGACGCCGCCCUCCGCGGCCGCCAUGCCGCCGGACGCCACGCUGGGGCGCCACCUCGCCCGGCGCCUGGCCGAGGUCGGCGCCCACGACGUCUUCACCGUGCCGGGGGACUUCAACCUGACGCUCCUCGACGAGCUCGAGGCGGAGCAGCCGUCCGGCGGCGGGGUGCGGCUCGUCGGGUGCUGCAACGAGCUAAGCGCCGCCUACGCCGCCGACGGCUACGCCCGCGCGCGCGCCGGCGGGGUCGGCGCCUGCGCGGUCACCUUCACCGUCGGCGGGCUCAGCGCCAUCAACGCCGUCGCCGGCGCCUUCAGCGAGAACCUCCCCGUCAUCUGCAUCGUCGGGGGGCCCAACAGCAACGACUACGGCAGCAACCGGAUCCUGCACCACACCAUCGGCAUCCCCGAUUUCACGCAGGAGCUCCGCUGCUUCCAGAACGUCACCUGUUAUCAGGCAGUGGUGAACAACUUAGAGGAUGCACAUGAACAGAUUGAUACUGCCAUUUGCACUGCACUGAAGGAGAGCAAGCCUGUUUACAUCAGCAUCAGCUGCAACCUCCCCUCGAUCCCGCAUCCAACCUUUAGCCGCCAUCCUGUCCCUUUCUUUCUCUCCCCAAGACUGUCUAACCAGAUGAACCUGGAAGCAGCAGUGGAGACUGCUGCGGCUUUUUUGAACAAAUCAGUCAAGCCGGUCCUUGUUGGCGGACCGAAGAUGAGGGUGGCCAAAGCAAGCAAGGCCUUCGUAGAGCUGGCUGAUGCAUGCGGUUAUCCGGUUGCAGUGAUGCCUUCUGCAAAGGGACUUGUGCCAGAGCACCAUUCUAGAUUUAUCGGCACAUACUGGGGUGCUGUGAGCACCCCAUUCUGUGCUGAGAUUGUGGAGUCAGCUGAUUCCUAUUUGUUUGCUGGCCCGAUAUUUAACGACUACAGCUCGGUUGGGUACUCGCUUCUCCUCAAGAAGGAGAAGGCCAUCAUUGUCCAGCUGGACCGAGUGGUGAUUGGGAAUGGGCCUGCAUUUGGGUGUGUUUUGAUGAAGGACUUCCUGCAUGCGCUUGCAACCCGGCUGAAGAAGAACACAGCUGCCUACGACAACUACAGUCGUAUUUUUGUGCCUCAGGGCGAACCCCUUUCCUCUGAGCCUGGAGAGCCUUUGAGAGUGAAUGUACUUUUCAAGCAUAUUCAGAAAAUGUUGUCUGGCAACUCAGCUGUUAUAGCAGAGACCGGGGACUCAUGGUUUAACUGCCAGAAGCUGAAACUACCAGAAGGCUGUGGGUAUGAAUUUCAGAUGCAAUAUGGAUCAAUUGGUUGGUCUGUGGGUGCAACUCUGGGAUAUGCGCAGGCUGCUAAGGACAAGCGAGUCAUUUCCUUCAUUGGAGAUGGCAGCUUUCAGGUGACGGCACAAGAAGUGUCGACGAUGCUCCGGUGGGAACAGAACAACAUCAUCUUUCUCAUAAACAACGGGGGUUACACCAUUGAGGUGGAGAUCCAUGACGGCCCUUACAACAUCAUCAAGAAUUGGAACUACACCGGCGUGGUGGAAGCAUUCCAUAAUGGCGAGGGCAAGUGCUAUACGGCCAAGGUCCGAACAGAGGAGGAACUGAAGAAGGCAAUUGAGGCAUCCCUAGGACCCAACAAGGACAGCCUGUGCUUUAUAGAGGUAAUUGUGCACAAGGAUGACACUAGUAAGGAGCUUCUUGAGUGGGGUUCUAGGGUUUCCGCCGCGAAUAGCCGCCCACCAAAUCCCCAGUGAACGCAUCAGGUCUCCAAAGAUCCUCAUCCAGCUUAAUGAUGUCAUGUGGAAGUUCUGAAUAGAUGUUACUGAUCUUCAAAUAAAUGAUCCAUUUGAGUCCACUGCCGUUGCAAGGGCUCACGGUUACUGUACAUAGAUGGUCUCAGUUCAGGAACCUGUGCUUGUAUAUUACUUCAAUAAAUCUGAAAUCGAUGUCGUAGCCAGCUAAAGACGCCCUUGAUUUUGGCAUCUUUCUUGAUUUUGACAACAGUUUCAGGCCUGUUGUGUUUCUCAAAAACAUUAGUGAGACGAAACAAAUUGCGUUUCUAGAAUGCGAAGAAGAUUCAAUUAUGUGGUGAAGUUUACUGAAUGUCAAAACAAAUUGCAAUGAAAACUCAAUGAUGCACUCCCAGGUGAAAACAAUUUCUGAAUGUCAAAAUAUUACAGAAAGAACACUGUAAAUUCACUAGUCUGUUUUGCGUUUGUAAACUUUCAUGGGAGACGGUUAUUUUGCGCCCUGUGCAAAAAAAAAAGGUUUCAGUGCUCUUUUCUUAUGAAAAUUUACAUAGGUGUAAAGAAAAUUGGUACCUAAUAACAAAAGUAAAAGACAAAUUAGUCCUGUCCGUUUCACAUCUCUACCUAAUAUUAAAGGGCUGUGUCUCUCUCGACACUGUCACAUCUCUAACUUAAUAUCUGUCUCUGCCUAAUAUUAAAGGGAGCUGUCUGUGUCGACACAUGACCAUGAUAUUUAGACCAAAUUUAGCAGUACUGACAUUUGGGACCAGGAAAGUGGCAGUUUUCAAAAUGUUUUUCCAGCUGGUAUGAUUUAAUUUAAUUUCUUUGAAACCAUUUGCAGCAGCAAUUUUAUAUGAGUAAGACACAAACUGUCACAUGAAACCUUUCUCCUCAUUCACCUCACAAACCUCGGCCAAUUCUAAGAUUGAUGAAUUUGGGCUGCUGUUUACCAGCAUCAAUUGGACAGCAGCAAGGUCCUCUUCAAGGUCGUUUCUGGCGCACCGACCGCACAGCCGAUUUUGCCGAGCAAGGCCCUCUUCAAGGUCGUUUCUGGUGCACCCAGCCACAUUUCAGGCUCUACAAUAACAGUUCUUCUCAGUGACAGGGUGAAAAGGCUCGGUGUCAAUGUUGUUGUGGGCAUUUACCUGAAAUUGUCAGAGGAGUUUGCAGAAGACAGAUUUCACACCACUGGGUUGUCGGAACUUAGAAUACAUAAACUGCUUGUGCUCAGUUCAAUAUGAGAAUCAAUUCUUGACGAAUUUUAGUCCUGCACUUUGUGUUUAGAAGGAACUGCAUUAUUGUUAUGUAUGAUGUUCAUAAUUUAUAUGACAGCAUCCAUCAUGUAUGCUUUGCUCUAGGUUCUUCUAUUGCAGUGGUAUGCUUAUUUGUUGCUUUCUUGAUAUCUUUUUU
rnacentral:rRNA from 1 species